UUGAAGUAUUGUAAGAUGUUAUG
rnacentral:snRNA from 1 species